UACAGAGGGGGCAAGCGUUGUUCGGAAUUACUGGGCGUAAAGGGCGCGUAGGCGGCCUUCUAAGUCGAACGUGAAAUCCCCGGGCUCAACCCGGGAACUGCGUCCGAGACUGGAAGGCUCGAAUCCGGGAGGGGGAUGUGGAAUUCCAGGUGUAGCGGUGAAAUGCGUAGAUAUCUGGAGGAACAUCGGUGGCGAAGGCGGCAUCCUGGACCGGUAUUGACGCUGAGGCGCGAAAGCCAGGGGAGCAAACGGG
rnacentral:rRNA from 1 species